GAUGAACGCUGGCGGCGUGCCUAAUACAUGCAAGUCGAACGGAGUCCCGCCUUUAAGACCUCCGGGUUAUAGAGGGGAAGACUGAGUGGCGGACGGGUGAGUAACACGUGGGCAACCUGGCUCAUAUAGGGGGAUAAUAGAUAGAAAUUUCUGCUAAUAUCGCAUAAGCACACACUGCCGCAUGGCCGAGGGUGCAAAGAGAAUCGCUAUGAGAUGGACUCGCGUCUGAUUAGCCAGUUGGAAGGGUAAGCGCCUACCAAGGCGACGAUCAGUAGCCGAGCAGAGGAGAUAAGCGGCCACAUUGGGACUGAGGCACGGCCCAAACUCCUACCGGAAGCAGCGGAAGGGGAUAUUACACAAGGGGGGGGACCCUGAUGCGGCGACGCCGCGUGAGUGAAGAAUUAUUUGGGAAUGUAAAGCUCUAUCAACAGGUAAGAUAAUGACAGUACCUUAAUAAGAAAGCCCGGCUAACUACGUU
rnacentral:rRNA from 1 species